rnacentral:rRNA from 1 species
CAGCCGCCACGGUAAUACGAAGGGGUCUAGCGUUGCUCGGAAUGACUGGGCGUAAAGGGCGCGUAGGCGGAUUGUUUAGUUAGGCGUGAAAUUCCUGGGCUUAACCUGGGGACUGCGCUUAAUACAGGCAGUCUAGAGUGAGGAAGAGGGUUGUGGAAUUCCCAGUGUAGAGGUGAAAUUCGUAGAGAUGUGGAGGAACACCAGUGGCGAAGGCGACUCUCUGGUCUGUAACUGACGCUGAGGAGCGAAAGCGCGGGGAGCGAACAGGAUUAGAUACCCGCGUAGUCCCUGUCUCUUAUAC